CAAGACAAAUGGUAACUCAAUGAAGGACAAGGAAGCUUGCAAAAGUAAAGGGAUACUGUAGCAGAAAUGCUAAGUCACAGCUUGAAAAGGUGAUUGAGCACCUGGUAGGAAGGCAGGGCCAACCUGGGGGAGCUCAGGUGUAUGCAAUGCACUGGAGUAACUGGAAGGGGAGAAGCCAGGAUCCACCCUUCCCACGCCUCAUUUAAGGGUUGGCAGUGAAGGUGAGAAUAUUUUGCUGGAGAACUCUGCAAACCUGAGGCCUUCUAAAGGAACUGUUUUCCAGACAGAUGGAAAAAUAAAGACGACUUUGACCCAAUCUAACCAUUUUUCACAUUGGAUGACAAGGUUCAGGACACCUCCUAUAAGCUCAGCUCAGCAGCGAGGGGACUGUUUUCCACAGAGAUUUUGGAGAGCUGGAGUGGGAGUCAAUGCUUUAACAACUCCCACCUCCUCAACAGGACAUUUGUGGACUUCAGGAUCUGGCUCAUGGGGUGCAAUUCAGCUGUCAUUCUGGGAUGCGUCCCUCUUACUCCAUCCUUGGUACAUGCCUGCCUUCACCCAUCAUCCACUCCUUCUGCAGCACUUUCUGCACUCCAGACCUAAUUUCUUCCUCUCUCUUGUGCUAUUUUGUGAUUACAUAUUUUGCUGCUCUAUAGGGAGAAGUUUUCCUGUUGAUAUAUUCUUCUUCCCCAGUUGCUGCUGCUACCAUUAUUUGCUCCACAGUUGUGCUAUCCUACGCCUCAUCUGCACUGCUCUUGCCCAGGCUCCCUUGUUCCCCCAUUUUAAUCUGAUCUUUGUCAGAAGAGAGUAUUUACAGCAUCUAGGCACCAGAUCUGGGGCAGGGAAGGCAAUCCUCCUGUGUUGGUGCUGCAGUAGUGAGUGCUUGGCUGAUGGAGGCAGUGCUGGGUGGCUCUAGUUGCUUCCAGGUGUGAGCUGACUUUACAAACCCCUGAGUUUGGGGAUGGUUUUGGGUAUGCAUACCCAGAAGUGAAGCCAUAGACAGUUCAGUAUCUCAGGAGGCAUAGGAGCUGCACAGAGCUGGAUUGCACCACAGGCACAAGGACAUCUAGAAAAGAUCCAGACACUGGCUUUGGGCAACUGAGUCCCACUGGGCAGCUGAAGGCAACGCACAGUGGCAGUGAAGACUUUCCUCUUCUAUUUAACCCUAACAAAGACUAAAUGUGGAAUUUCACCAUCCAGAAAAGUCAAAGUUUUGCAAAGGAUUUCCUGUAUCUUCUUCCGGGGAAGGGCAGCAUGGUGGAACGUUAAACUGAAGAAGUAAAUGCCUGUAGAAAUGUAAAUGCUGGCCAGACAAUGCCUGGGCACACUGCUCAGAGGGAGCACUGGGACUGAUCUGUUGGCACCAGUGUGUAACUGCUGGUGGAUUUUACCACCCACUUAUACUGUCAUGAUUUAUGAAAUCAGCCAGGAACAUCUUCUGCUUUGGAAGGGAAAAGGUAUUUAAUAAAUGAAGAUGCAUGGGAAAGAAUUAGGACCUGACAUCGCAUUAGGAAAGCAAAGAUUAUUUUUUUUUUCUCUCCUUCCUCUGUAAGAUCUGAUCAUAUGUGGAAUUGGCCAAGAAAACUUGCAUCAGAAGGAACUAGAUAGAACUGGUGGCAGAGCAGGGAGCGCAGAAGUUGUGGCUGUGCUUAUGUGCCAGGGUUCUUUAUUUGGCCGUCCCUUCUAUGGGCAAUCACAGCCUCACACAAGCAGGGAAGCACCAGAAAUCAUCAGCCAACAAUCAGCUCGCUGCCCACCUGAAGUGCUUGGCUUCAUUCCAAACCUGCUGCUGUCAGAGCUUGGAGCAUGCAAAGCUGUGGUGGGAUUUAGGGGCAAGGUUCCUUUCAGCACAGCAUUUCUCCAUUUCUCAGGUCAAGCCUGCACAGGAUACUACCCAAUAUUGCAAGGAGGAAACCUGUUCCUGCGUUAUCCUAAUGCUGGAAACUGUCUGCUUGCCUUUGAUUCACUUUCAGCCCUGUUUCCUCUGGUCCCAAGUCAACAUUAAUCUUAAUUAUGUCUCAGCUAACAAGUCUUUAAGAGUUUAUUAAACAGGCUUUUGUGUUCCCUAAUUGAAAAUCUCAGCGCAAAGCACUUCCGACUCUCAUGCUGUUUGACAAAUGGCAGUGGGAGGUGGGUGGAGGGGAGAGGGAUGGGGUACCGAUGGCAGCACUGCUGUUUGGCUGUCGCAUCCUGGCAGGAGAGGAUGGGAAGAGCCAGGAAGUCUGCCUGCAGCACGGUGAUCCUCUUGGGAGGGUGGUGGUAACUAAAAUGCCCAUCAUCAAAUUGCCUGAUGGAUGUAUGGAGCAUCAUGUGACCACUAAAUGUCUCUAUGAAGAGAAGGCAAGACUGCCAGGCACCAUGUGUGGGUUGGAGUGCUCAUCACAUCCCUACCUCAGAGGAAGUGUUGAUCUGCCUGAGGGUAGGGAGGCCCUAAGGGUGGAUCUGGAUAGGAUGAAUGGGCUGAGACCAAUGGGAUGUGCUUCAGUGAAGACAAGAGCCAGGUCCUGUGCUUUGGACACAACAACCUUAUGGUGAAGAUGGGUGGGCAGUUGGAUUUGAUGAUCUUAUAAAUCUUUUCCAACCUUGAUGAGGUUGGAGCCUUUCCAUGGCUCUCAUUCUUCUCAUCUUCAGAUCUGUCUCACCUCAGUUUUUUUCCUAUUGCAACUCUUUUCUCGGAGGGGUCAGUGGGUCUGACCCCACCACUCAGGCAGGAUUGUCACAGCAGCAACUGCAGCCAUGGGGUCACAUCAUGUGCUACAGGAAUUUGCAAAGGAACUUGGUGUGAAACAGUUGGGGUCCUGGUUUUGAAUAGGGGCGAGACCGGCCCCUCUUCUGUUCCUGCUACCCCUGAGUAAGGACUGGGACUAUGGUUGCUGGAAAAUAGAUGUUCCGGAGAGAAGCCUGCCUGCCAACAUUUUUGUUGAUAAUGUAGCAAUGCAUCAUAUUUAAUGAGCAAAUUUAGGAAAGCUUUCAAUGCAUCAAUUUUCAGAUAAGACAGCCAAAUGACCUUUCCAACAAACAACUGUCUGGGGAAUUUGGUUGCAUAACAAAUGCCUGUCUCCAGCUGGGGUCUGAGGAGGAAGAAUAACAUUCAGCUGCAGCUGAGAGCACAUAUAGGGUCUGCUAUCCAGCCCUGAUUCAGCCUUGUUGGUGUCCAAGGCAUUGCUUCCUCAGCAUGGCCCAGUCAGUGCGGCUCAGUGUAAUCCUGACAGCUCUUGCUCAGGCUUUGCUUUCCAGGAGCUGCUCUUCUCCAUCUAUAUCUUCCCCAGUGCUGCGCAGCUGCUGCCCCAUGAGAUCCUCUCCUCAUCCCAAAACUUUUCCCAGGAUUGAGCUGUAUUUUCUAAAAGCUCCACUUGCUCUUUCUCCAAGUCCCAUCUACAUACUGUUCUUUGAGGAGACGUGGGCUUCCCCCGCAUCUUGGCAAUGGGCUUCUGAGCAGCCAGGCAAGCUGAGAGCACCUCUGAACACACUUCGUCAAAACAUGUCAUGCUUUGACAAAGACUGACAAAUUCAGAUGAAAAUCUGUCCUCCCAGCCAGCUGUUCCCAGAAAGCAAGAGACAGAAGUGAUGCUCCCAGCAUGCAGGGUUUUUUAACACGCUGCACAUCUAGUCACUAAGCCUGAGGGACUGACUGACAUUUUUAAUACCUCGACAGACAAUUCAUCAAAUUAAAACUAUUCAGCUUUAAAUACUCCUUUCUUGGCCAACCCUUCGUUCCCUUAAAGUAUAACAAAUGUUAGCUUUCCUUCUGCACUGCUUGAAACAAAUAUUCACGUGCCCGUGAAGAUCAAGGAAUCCUCGUCCUGUGCCUGUUUGACCUUCACAAUGUGACAAAAUAUAUUUACUUGUUGCCACCUCUGUUUAAGUCCCCAGUUAUGAAUAUUCAUUGGUUGUCAUGCAGGUCACUCUAUAAACAGAUUUUCAACAGCUGGGUACAAAAAGGCUUUUGCUGGAAUAUGCGUACAGAAGGAAAACCUGCAAUAGUUAGGGUAAAGGAGCACCUUUUUUAAACAUAUCACUUUUUCUUCCAAUAAAAGUGGCUAUAGGUGAGAGGAAAAGUCAUGGAUUGUAUGUACAAGUGGUAUUUGCAGAA
ensembl:lncRNA